rnacentral:misc_RNA from 1 species
UUUCCGUAGGUGAACCUGCGAAGGAUCAUUAAUAAAUGUCUACGUUUUUUUAAGUAGACGCUUAAUAAUCCUACCCUUUGUGAAUUUGUUUGUUUGAAAUAAUUUUUUUUAAAAUUGUUGAAUGUCUUUCCCUGUUGAAUUGGUUGUCUAAUGCAAAUGAUUCGCAGGGAGUGUCAGUAAUUUUUAAAAAAGACCUUUUUUUAAAUUAAACUUUUUGUAUUCAUUUGUCUAAAAUUAUUUUUAUAAUAUAAAAACAACUUUUGACAAUGGAUCUCUUGGUUCUCGCAACGAUGAAGAACGCAGCAAAAUGCGAUAAGUAGUGUGAUUGCAGAAUACGUGAAUCAUCGAAUCUUCGAACGCAUAUUGCACUUUUUAGUUUACUAAAAAAGUAUGUCUGUUUGAGUAUCAGUAAAAUAUUCUCAUAAAAACUUUUUUGUUUUUAUGGUUAUGAGUGUUUUACAACGAUACAAGUUGUUUCACUUUAAAUUUUUUUAAAAUUUGAAUUUUUCUAAUUUAAAAUAAAAUUGGAUAAAAUUUUCCCGUAAAAAGGAAUAACCUAAAACAAUUUUAAUUUUUGAUUAGAAAAUCCAAACUAAAAGGAAAAUUUAACUAAAUAACUUGAUCUCAAAUCAGAUAAGAGUACCCGCUGAACUUAAGCAUAUCAAUAAGCGGAGGAAAAGAAACUAACAAGGAUUCCCUUAGUAACGGCCGAGUGAAGCGGGAAGAGCUCAAAUUUGAAAUCUUCAAGGUUUUACCUUGACGAAUGUAGUUUAAAGAAGUGUUUUCUGUUGAAGUUUUGGUAAAAGUUCUUUGGAAUAGGACAUCAUAGAGGGUGAGAAUCCCGUAUUUGACCAUUAUUUUCAGCUGUGUGAUACACUUUCAAAGAGUCGGAUUGUUUGGGAAUGCAGUCCAAAAUGGUGGUAAAUUUCAUCUAAAGCUAAAUAUUGGCGAGAGACCGAUAGCGAACAAGUACCGUGAGGGAAAGAUGAAAAGAACUUUGAAAAGAGAGUUAAACAGUACGUGAAAUUGUCAAAAAGGGAAGCGUUUGACACCAGUGUUGUUUUCUCGAAAAUCAAUUAAAAAAAGUUGGAUUUUGUGUUGUAUUGACCUUAACAGCUUGCUUCACUCUUUUCUUGCUUUUUUAAUGCACUUUUCGUUUAACAAGUCAACAUCAGUUUCUUUUGUUGUAAAAGGGUCAUUGGAAGGUGGCUUUCUCUUCGGAGAAAGUGUUUAUAGCCUUUGAUCCCUGCAAUCGGAGAGACUGAGGCCUGCAGCGUAGAUCCUUCGGGGUUAGAUACACUUGUGCUAAGCUACAGCUUCUCAUAGACAACUUGUUGACUAUGUUUAGUCUUGUAACUUACCCGCUUAUGCUAUUU